GAAAUGCGAUAAGUAAUGUGAAUUGCAGAAUUCAGUGAACCAUCGAAUCUUUGAACGCACAUUGCGCCCCCUGGCACUCCGGGGGGCACGCCUGUCCGAGCGUCAUAUCGAAACAAAUCGGGCUCACCAGACGCCCGGUCCUUGGGGGCCCCGCGCUCAGGCGCGCCCCCGAAACGCAACGGCGACCCCGAGGUCCCCCGCGGAGAGCGAACGAGGCGUUCCGCCGUCGCCCCCGAUGGAGGGACCGCUUUGGGUGUUUGGCCCACCGAACUCUGGGGCUCACUCCCCCAGAGUCACGCGAACCUUGACCUCGGAUCAGGCGGGGCUACCCGCUGAACUUAAGC
rnacentral:misc_RNA from 1 species